UCUCAGACCACAUUCCUCUGGCCCAACCUCGCUGGCAACGUACCCUGUGUGCUUGUACCGAAUUAGUCCUUUACAAUAGUCCCAGGAGAGAGAGAGAGAGAGAGAGAGAGAGAGAGAGAGAGAGAGAGAGAGAGAGAGAGAGAAGAGAGAGAGAGAGAGAGAGAGAGAGAGAGAGAGAGAGAGAGAGAGAGAGAGAGAGAGAGAGAGUGAGAGAGAGAGAGAGAGAGAGAGAGAGAGACUAAUUGUUAGCUUUUCCUCUCUUUUGCGUUCAAUGUAUAAACUAUGUCUGAUGGCCGAGUGAAGCCAGUGAACCUGGGGAAUCGAGUCCGCCGCCCUGCGUGUAAGAAGACAGAGCUUUCUGAGGCGGGUGAAAGUCUUUUGGAUCGGAGUAAACAACAUUCCAGCUUGGAGAACCGUGUUUGGAACUGCUUACGAUUCUCCUUCAGUCUGUCAGCCAGAACUGGAGCCGUUCUUCUCUCUUUGUCUUUAAACAGCUGAGCGGUCCCGAGGCGUAACCCAACGUCUUCAUCAUCAGACAGCGGACACGGACCAGGCCCGACCGCAGGGUUGAAGAGCGCUGACCUCGGCAGGACUCCUCGUAUCCACGCCCUGCUCCGCGACCCCCCCCCCCCCCCCAACAGGGGUACCCCACAUUCGAGAUGCAUUUGGGAUGAACCGGGGCGGCGGUUAGCUCAGGAGGUCGAGAGAGUUGCUAGUAACCGGAAGGUAGUUCGAUCCCCGGCUGUGUUGAGGUGUCACUGAGCAAGACGCCUCCCCCUGACUGCUUGCUGUCGCCCUGCGUGGCUUUCUCCGGCGUCGGUGUGUCAACGGGGGAAUGAAUGGUUGUUAGUCGCUUCGGAUAAAAGCGUCAGCAAAAUCCCCUGAAUGUAAAAUGUAAUGAACCAAUAUUCAAGUUAGCGAGCCCCCAUGACCUACGCUUGUCCAUCGCUGUGCAGUGGAAAGAUGUAAUACAUUUAUCAUAUGAUAGAAAGAAAGAUAUGUAUAUAUGUAAUCCUACCAGGUGAGGUAUUUUCCAUGCAUACUUGGUUCAAACCAAAAACGUAAUUUGCCAAACGUUCUUCGGGUGGGGGGGUUGGGGGUUUAUUUUUUAUCCCUCCAAAGAUUGCUUGAUAUUAAUCUAUGAAUAAAUGCACAGUUGAUAAAUAAUAAGUCAAAAAUACAGCACAGUGUUGUUGUGUUUACAGCCCAGUGGACGGUCAGAGCGUGCCCGGCUCUCUCCAACGCAUCACGCAACGACUGUAACCACCUGCACAAUUCAUUAGCUCACGUGGAAUUAGUUCCACAUGUAAGGAUGCACUCCCACAAAUGGUGUGGCCUAUAAAAGCGGGGAAGACUUGGCAUGCCGUUGUGUGAAAGAAGGCGAUGAAGUUCUGUAGAAAGAAAAGGGGGGGAGAGGAAAAAUAGCAGUUGGGCAGAGGAAAAAGUGAAGUGAAGUGAAGUGCUUUUAGUUUUAGAGCCUCCUCCAUAAAAAUGUCAUCGUUCAAGACGACAGGAAACUAAGAGAAAAUAUUAUGCCUUUUCCGAGUUGAGGGUCACCAGCAUCCAAUUAACACCAUUAGAAGAUAUAUGACAAAGUAUAUCCGCACAGUUUGACACCUUGAACCUUGAAACUUGAGAUAAAACGCUGUUUAUGUACGUUGUUUGUUGAGGUACAUAAUACACUUGAUGUUGUUUUUGCCCUACUUCAGCGGAAAUAGUACUUGGGCAAAGGGCAAGCCGCAGAACCCAUUGCCUUCUAUAAAGGCCUUUACACAGAAAGCCGUUUAAAUGUUAAAUCAGGCUCCGGGGUUAAUUUGCCCAAGAGUCAUCUGUUUAAAUGUUAAAGCGUUCUUAAACUAUUAGCACAAAUUGAAGUGUGGGAUGUCGUUUGGGAUGUUUGUUUUAUGGCCCACCCUGGCCAUGUGACUCACUAACGCCACCCUACCAGGGUAUUUUGCCCUGCAAUCAGUAGCCGGUCUCGGGGAUGACCUAUGAAUGGGACGAAGGAAGGGGAAAGCAAUAUGAGGGCAAGAUAGUCUUGUAGGGAUUAAGGUGUUUUCGACACCCUGCCACAAGGUCCGGGGUUCGAUCCUCAAAAUUAAAUGAAUCUGGAUCUUAAGUCACUUUGUGCAAAUCUGUUGGCUAAACAACUCUGUGAAUGGUAACCUAUACUGGUAAUGUCUAAUGUAAAAUGAGGUGGUUAGUGUUUGUUUGUUGAGUGUUUCCUGAUGAUUCAAUGUAUUAAUACUUUUCUUUCCUCUAAAAGGAACCCGUUUCCUGAUCCUUGUCCCUUGGAUUUAUUUAUUAUUGUGAGAGCACAAGCAUAAAUCAGGGGCAAAUCAAUCCCUGAUGUUCCACUAAAGAGCUGGAGAGAAGGUCCCCUCUUCUGUGGGACAGAGCGGCACAGGGUCUGUUCUUCUGAGGAACAAAUAGGUAGCCUACUGGUUCUGUUCUUCAGAGAAACAAACAGGGACUUGGUCUGUUCUUCUGAGGAACAAACAGGGACCGGGUCGGUUCUUCUGUGGAACAAAUUUGCCACUUCAUCCUAGCAUAUAGCUAAUGUAAUAAAGCCUUGCCCAUUACAUUUUACUCAUUCACGAAAUGGCAGAACAUUAUACAUGGACUCGUUUAAAGGUUGCGUGUGUAGAGUUUAUUGGCAUCUAGCGAAACGGACUUGGCAGGAGCAUAGUAUAAUAAUAUUCAUAAGUAUUUUUUAAUUAGUGUACACUCCCAUGGAAAUAAGAAUUGGCGUGUUUUCAUUAGCUGAGAAUGAGCCCUUUAUAUCUGCAUAGGCAGCUGUCAUGUUGCACCGCCAUGUUUCUACUGUAGCCCAGAAAGGACAAACUACACUAGCAUGAACAUGGGCUAAGAGUUCUAGGAAGGAGGGGGCCAUGAGAUCCCAAUGGCUACGACCCAUUUGUGAUACCUAUUUAGCAAUAAUUGAUUGCAUUCAUAUAGCGCUCUUCAACGUCCCGAAAGUACUCUUACAUAGUGAGUAUGUAUGUGUAUGUGGUUGUGGAUCUUGAAUACAUUCAUGUUUUGUAGACAUUGUUUUUGGAGGUUGUUUCCCUGCUCAAUAACUAACAGUUGGCUAUCACUCUUAUGGAGAAAGUUGGUAUCCAAAACAAAACGGUUGCUAUUACAACUGCACACGAAUAUGUUAUCAAAAGCAGCCUUUGAUACCUUAGAAAGAUACCCGCUUGUAAUUAAUGUGCUUUUUCGCAGUAUCUGUAGGUCCAUGGUUCUAGUUUUAGCUUAAUUGUAUCGAUGUGGGGAAAAAGGGCAAUGAGAAAUCAUGUUCAAUGUACGGACCUUUACUUGUUAGCAAUGACUUAUGGUUUUAGAUUAACAGACUAAAUAACUAAAUACAAUUCACGAAUAACUAAAGGACCCAGCCCCAUUUGACCCUUGACUACUCUAUGCUUUCCUAGACGAUGACAUCAUUUUGAAAGUACCUGCCGGUCCCCAACACAACACAGGCUAGUACACCCCAGUGUAAACAUUGGAAGGGGUGGGUUGAGGUGGUGGUGGUGGGGGGUAUUUAUUAAUA